rnacentral:lncRNA from 1 species
GAGCAGUGUGUGGUAAGAGGAACGUCUGAGUCCCAGUCCCAGUCCUGAGAUCUCCGAAUUCAUCCUCCGACUGGGAUGCUUGGGAGACUGGAAGAUGGCACUGGGAGUAAUGACACCCACCCCGGCCCCUGGACAGCCUGGCUCCCCUACUUCAGGUCUCAGCUCAGACGUCCUCAUCUGCGCGCUCCUCCUGACUGCGUCUCACGUGUCACUGUCCCACUCCCUCCCAUCAUGCGCUGCCCCUUCACCUGUCCUGUGUCCCUGACCUCAUCGCCACCCACAUGCCCCACAGCUGGUCAGUCCUUUAUGUGUCUGUCAUCUCUCCCCAUUACCAUGUGGGCUCCCCGAGGGGAGGGAUGGGGCCUCUUCUGUCCACUGUGGUGUCCCAGGGCCUCAGCCAGUGCCUGGGCCACGGUAGCUACUCAGCCAAUGAUGGGUGGGUGGAGGGAUAGACAGGUGGGUGGGUGAAUGAAUUAAUAAAAAGUCCCAGA